AACGAACGCUGGCGGCAGGCCUAACACAUGCAAGUCGAACGAACCCUUCGGGGUGAGUGGCGCACGGGUGCGUAACGCGUGGGAAUGUACACCUUGGUAAGGAAUAACUGCUGGAAACGGUAGCUAAUACCUUAUAAUGACUCCGGUCCAAAGAUUUAUCGCCAAGGGAUCAGCCCGCGUCAGAUUAGAUAGUUGGUGAGGUAAGAGCUCACCAAGUCGACGAUCUGUAGGGGGUCUGAGAGGAUGAUCCCCCACACUGGAACUGAGACACGGUCCAGACUCCUACGGGAGGCAGCAGUGAGGAAUAUUGGACAAUGGGGGAAACCCUGAUCCAGCCAUGCCGCGUGUAUGAAGAAGGCCUUAGGGUUGUAAAGUACUUUCAAUAGUGAAGAUAAUGACGGUAGCUAUAGAAGAAGCUCCGGCUAAAUUCG
rnacentral:rRNA from 1 species